GUGCACGGCUGAAACAUGAGGAGGAGCACAGAGGAUCUCAGAGUGCAGCCUUUGGUGUGGAAACAUUGCAGCAAGUGUCAGGAUUCGUGUCCUGACCCGUUACAAGCCUCAGUGUUACUGAGAUGAGAGAAAGCAAAGCUCCUGCAGACACAGAGGCAUACUUCAGCCUGGUCCAGGACCAAAUCUCCUCUUAGCAUUAAUAAUACAUCAGUGGCUUUGGCGGGGGCAUGGUGACAUCAGUGUGGUACAUCUCUUGGGGAAAGAGCCUUGGAAUGAAUAGCCCUAAAUAAAAGAUAGAUGCAAACAAAGAGCUGUGUUGCCUGGACUGCUGGUGAGCACCUGAGGAUCCCUGAUGUGCUGAAAGCAUGGUCUGUCCGAGAUUUCCCCAAUCUGCCGACUUCUCUAGUUGGGAUAAAGUAGGAGAAAAUGUAUUGUGGUUGAAAUGAAAACUGGCAGUUACAGCCUUCCCUUGGCAAGGAGGGCUAAGGUCCCUUCACCAACUCGGGCAGAAGGCAGAAAUCUUUCCUGGACCAUAAGAAUUCUAAUAACUCGAGGAUAAAAAGCAAUUCCCACUUAUACGGCUAAAAUUUCCAAUCAAGUCAUUAACACAGGCAGAAAGGAGACUCGGUAGAACAAUGUGUGUGGGACAGCAGAGGACUGCAGAAAUGAAGAUUCGUUUCUUCAGUGCAUAAUCUAUCCAUUAGAUUGGCUAACGUUAGCAUGGUGCUCCCGUGCCGGAGCGGAGCUGCAGCGAUGUGACCCAGAAUCCUGUUGCAGGGUUGGGAUCGUUCCCAGCACAGUCCUGUGCUUCAAUCUUCUGCGUGACAUCAGAUAAGUAAACACCAAGAUUUGAUGUGAGAACAUAUGUCCAUUGCAUAAUUCAUUAGCAUUCUUCUCUGGAAUUACUUUUAGAUAUAUGUACUUAGAUCAGAAUUAGUGGGUGAGGGUUAU
rnacentral:lncRNA from 1 species